CAGGUACAUAGUGUAGAGUCCAUCCACCACCCCCAAAGGGCUCACAACCUUCUUGCGCCAACAUUUUACCUCGGUAAUAUGGCACCCAGGAGGUGGCUGAGGCUCAGCAACCAGCAACAUCCCAGAUCUCAGCCAAAAAUGAUGAAAGCCACUGAAGACAAGAGCAGUUGGUGAGCCAGUGAGUGGUGGAAAGCAAAGAGGAAAGCUACAAUUUUGGAUGAACCUACGAGAGCAGCGAAGCAGUUUGUCGAGUACACAUCAACCAUCUCCAGAGGUUGCGACAAAAACGGAAGAGUAUUUGUGAUGAAUCUCCCAAGCCAGCAAACUCAUAAGAUGUUUGUGUGUAGGGCAAGGUAUUUCCAAACACAAUGCAGUCUGUCUUGGCAUCAUAGAACCGGGC